rnacentral:rRNA from 1 species
GGUGAGUAAUUGCUAGGGAAACUGCCUGAUGGAGGGGGAUAACUACUGGAAACGGUAGCUAAUACCGCAUAACGUCGCAAGACCAAAGAGGGGGACCUUCGGGCCUCUUGCCAUCAGAUGUGCCCAGAUGGGAUUAGCUAGUAGGUGGGGUAACGGUCACCUAGGCGACGAUCCCUAGCUGGUCUGAGAGGAUGACCAGCACACUGGAACUGAGACACGGUCCAGACUCCUACGGGAGGCAAGUGGGGAAUAUUGGACAAUGGGCGCAAGCCUGAUGCAGCAUGCCGGUGUAUGAAGAAGGCCUUCGGGUUGUAAAAGUACUUUCAGCGGGGAGGAAGGUGUAGGGUUAAAUAACCAAGAAUUGACGUUAACCGGAGAAGAAAGGCAACCGGGUUAACUGCCGGUGCCAAGCAAGCCCGGGGGGCAAUAACCGGAGGGGUCGCAAAGGCCGUUCAANCCGGGAAUUCACUUGGGCGUAAAGCGCACAGCAAGGCAGGGACUUGCACAAGUACGGAUAGUCGAAAUCCCCACAGGGUCAAAAACCCNUGGGGGAAACAACUUGGGAAUUUCCCAGAAAAACCUUGGGGCCAAGGGCUCAAC